rnacentral:sRNA from 2 species
UACCGAGUGCGGGCCCUCUGGGUCCAACCUCCCAUCCGUGUCUAUCUGUACCCUGUUGCUUCGGCGUGGCCACGGCCCGCCGAAGACUAACAUUUGAACACUGUCUGAAGUUUGCAGUCUGAGUUUUUAGUUAAACAAUAAUUAAAACUUUCAACAACGGAUCUCUUGGUUCCGGCAUCGAUGAAGAACGCAGCGAAAUGCGAUAAUUAAUGUGAAUUGCAGAAUUCAGUGAAUCAUCGAGUCUUUGAACGCACAUUGCGCCCCCUGGUAUUCCGGGGGGCAUGCCUGUCCGAGCGUCAUUGCUGCCCUCAAGCACGGCUUGUGUGUUGGGCUUCCGUCCCUGGUAACGGGGACGGGCCCAAAAGGCAGUGGCGGCACCAUGUCUGGUCCUCGAGCGUAUGGGGCUUUGUCACCCGCUCCCGUAGGUCCAGCUGGCAGCUAGCCUCGCAACCAAUCUUUUUAACCAGGUUGACCUCGGAUCAGGUAGGGAUACCCGCUGAACUUAAGCAUAUCAAUAAGCGGAGGAAAAGAAACCAACAGGGAUUGCCUCAGUAACGGCGAGUGAAGCGGCAAGAGCUCAAAUUUGAAAUCUGGCCCCUUCGGGGUCCGAGUUGUAAUUUGUAGAGGAUGCUUCGGGUGCGGCCCCCGUCUAAGUGCUCUGGAACGGGCCAUCGGAGAGGGUGAGAAUCCCGUCUGGGACGGGGUGUCCGCGUCCAUGUGAAGCUCCUUCGACGAGUCGAGUUGUUUGGGAAUGCAGCUCUAAAUGGGUGGUAAAUUUCAUCUAAAGCUAAAUACUGGCCGGAGACCGAUAGCGCACAAGUAGAGUGAUCGAAAGAUGAAAAGCACUUUGAAAAGAGAGUUAAACAGCACGUGAAAUUGUUGAAAGGGAAGCGCUUGCGACCAGACUCGCUUCCGGGGUUCAGCCGGCUUUCGGGCCGGUGUACUUCCCCGGGGGCGGGCCAGCGUCGGUUUGGGCGGCCGGUCAAAGGCCCCUGGAAUGUAACGCCCCUCGGGGCGCCUUAUAGCCAGGGGUGUCAUGCGGCCAGCCUGGACCGAGGAACGCGCU